AGAGUUUGAUCCUGGCUCAGGACGAACGCUGGCGGCGUGCUUAACACAUGCAAGUCGAGCGGAAAGGCCCUUCGGGGUACUCGAGCGGCGAACGGGUGAGUAACACGUGAGCAACCUGCCCCUGGCUCUGGGAUAGCUCCGGGAAACCGGGAUUAAUACCGGAUAUGACCUUCAUCUGCAUGGGUGUUGGUGGAAAGUUU
rnacentral:rRNA from 1 species